GCCUACGGGUGGCUGCAGUGGGGAAUAUUGGACAAUGGGGGAAACCCUGAUCCAGCAAUGCCGCGUGAAUGAAGAAGGCCUUAGGGUUGUAAAGUUCUUUCACCUGUGAAGAUAAUGACGGUAGCAGGAGAAGAAGCCCCGGCUAACUCCGUGCCAGCAGCCGCGGUAAGACGGAGGGGGCUAGCGUUGUUCGGAAUGACUGGGUGUAAAGGGCGCGUAGGCGGUAUUUUAAGUGAGGCGUGAAAGCCCUGGGCUUAACCCAGGAGGUGCGUUUCAUACUGGAAUACUAGAGUGCGAGAGAGGAAAGUGGAAUUCCUAGUGUAGAGGUGAAAUUCGUAGAUAUUAGGAAGAACACCAGAGGCGAAGGCGGCUUUCUGGCUCGCAACUGACGCUGAGGCGCGAAAGCGUGGGGAGCAAACAGGAUUAGAUACCCCAGUAGUC
rnacentral:rRNA from 1 species